GUGGGCCAAUGUUGGCAAAUUUCAUGGUGGGCCCAAACUUUGAGGGACACUUGGCACCUAGGGUUUCUUUUUAUUUUUCGAUGGACCUCACCCUAGCAUAGAGGGACUCACGACCUUGUAGCUGCAGCCGACACUUACUCUGACAUUCCUUUUGCUUGUUAACGUUUUCUUUGGAGGUUGGGAGGCCUUUGGAACAUUUUUUUUUAGUUUUCUUUCAAUGAUGGUGAUUUUAUUUGAUUUUGGGUGAAAUGGUGUCCAGCAGCUACUUUCUUUUAAGUUUUCCUGGAGCUUUUAUUUUGCUACAUUUAAUACACUGAUUGAGGGGGCCUGCCGUCACACUUUGAUUUUAUUUUGAUUUUGCUGGAGAGGACUCGGCUGGAUGAAAGUUACACUUUCAUAGUUUUUUUUCUUAAUUCAAAUAGAAGCGUUGAUUUUUUUUUUUUUUAUUUUGCUUUUAAGAGAAUGCAGGAGCAUGUAGAGUUUGAAGGUUUGGUUCCUUUCCCUUGCUUUUGGAGGAUACGCAUAUUCCAAUUACUUUGUGCAAAUUAGUUUACUUUAAAAAAAAAAAGCUUGAGCUAGAGAUGACGGGGCAUUUGGUAGCAGUAGGUGUUCACUUUUUUUUUUAAUUCUUUGAGAAUGAAAUAAUUGAUUUUCCUUUAUUUUAUUUUUGCUUGCACUGUGAAUGUAAGAAGGCUUCACGUGAAAGAGUAGCUUAUUUUAUUACUUUUGUUUAGGAAAUCAAUCGGUGAAUUGUGUUAGCUUCAUUUGCUUGGAGAAAAUGAUAUAGCACAGUCUGCAGCCAUCCUUU
rnacentral:lncRNA from 1 species